UUCAUGCAUGAUUGUAAGUCGCUUUGGAUAAACGUGUCUGCUAAAUGUUAUAUA
rfam:Salmo salar isolate Sally breed double haploid chromosome ssa14, whole genome shotgun sequence.